rnacentral:lncRNA from 1 species
GCUGGAGACCUGAUCUUUUUGGACACGUCCAUGCUCGCUGCAUAAAGCAGGGAGCUCCUGAAGCCAUGGAUAAAUUUGACCUGAUCAAGAUCAUCGGGGAAGGCACCUUCGGGAAGGUGUACUUGGCUAAAGAUAAAUCAGAAAGCUGUCACUGUGUCAUCAAGGAGAUCAGCUUGACGAAGGAAAAAGAAGCUUCAAAGAACGAAGUGACUCUUCUGGCUAAGAUGAAGCAUUCCAACAUUGUAACCUUCUUCAGCUCAUUCCAAGAGAACAGCAGGCUGUUUAUUGUCAUGGAAUACUGUGACGGAGGGGACCUCAUGGAAAGGAUACAGAGGCAGCGGGGAGUGUUAUUCAGCGAAGACCAG